rfam:Picoides pubescens contig6559, whole genome shotgun sequence.
AAGGCGGUGAUGAUUGGCGCAGGGGUACGGACCUCAGCUGCACCAUGGGAGCUGAGUGCGGGCGGCGCGCGGCGCAGCUGGCGCGUGGCCGGCUGGCGGCGGCGGCUCUGCACGAGACUUUGCCAGAAGCUGAGCCAU